AUAUGACAUUUAGCUAUGAAUUGUAAUUAUCAAACUAUAUCUAUAGAGUAAUUAGACUAUUUUUAAAUGGGUAUAUGUGAAAGUUUCCCUCUUUACACCCUUAGUAGGUUGCUUCAGCCCAUGCCCAUAGCCCACAACCCAUACUUAAAUUAGGCCCAAAUAUUCAAUCAGAAAUCCCGAAACUGAAAAUCAGAAAUCCCUAACUCAGACACUAAAUCCCAUCUCUCAACUCUCAUCUCCGCUCGCAGCGCUUCUCACUGGCCACUGCUCAGUGCACGCUCGCAACUCGAAGCUCUUUAUAAAGAGAAUAACAGCCUUACCAGGUGACUUGGUCAGUACCCCCCUUAUGAUGCAGUAGUGAUCCCUGAAGGACAUUGUUGGGUUGAAGGUGACAAUCAGGCGUGAAGCUUGGACUCAAGAUCCUUUGGCCCUGUACGUUACAUAAUACUCCAUAUUCUCUUGCUAAUGAAGAUGAAUUUAACAUAGAAAGAAUCCAAUAUACUUUGUAAAGUUUAUUUCUCGAACUAAGAUGAUUUAUUUUUGAUCUCUCUAUAUGAAUAAUCCAUCAAUUUGUGGAGUA